ACGGGAGUGGCGAAACUGGCAGACGCGCUGUCUUGAGGGGGCAGUGACCUUAAGGUCGUGUGGGUUCAAAUCCCAUCUCUCGUA
rnacentral:tRNA from 2 species